rnacentral:rRNA from 1 species
AGCAGUAACCACGGUAAUACGUAGGUGGCGAGCGUUGUCCGGAAUUAUUGGGCGUAAAGGGAGCGCAGGCGGACAUAUAAGUCCAUCUUAAAAGUGCGGGGCUCAACCCCGUGAGGGGAUGGAAACUGUAUGCCUUGAGUGCAGGAGAGGAAAGCGGAAUUCCCAGUGUAGCGGUGAAAUGCGUAGAUAUUGGGAGGAACACCAGUGGCGAAGGCGGCUUUCUGGACUGUAACUGGCGCUGAGGCUCGAAAGCGUGGGGAGCAAACAGGAUUAGAUACCCCUGUAGUCCCUGUCUCUAUACAC